UACGUAGGUGGCAAGCGUUGUCCGGAUUUAUUGGGUUUAAAGGGUGCGUAGGUGGUCGAUUAAGUCAGUGCUGAAUAUCCCAGCUUAACUGGGAGGGUGGCAUUGAUACUGAUUGACUUGAGUGGAGUUGAGGUAGGCGGAAUUGACGGUGUAGCGGUGAAAUGCGCAGAUAUCGGGAAGAACACCCAUGGCGAAGGCAGCUCUCUGGGACGGUACUGACGCUGAGACGCGAAAGCGUGGGGAGCGAACAGG
rnacentral:rRNA from 1 species